AACGAACGCUGGCGGCAGGCCUAACACAUGCAAGUCGAGCGCACCUUCGGGUGAGCGGCGGACGGGUUAGUAACGCGUGGGAAUAUGCCCUUCUCUACGGAAUAGCCUCGGGAAACUGAGAGUAAUACCGUAUACGCCCUUCGGGGGAAAGAUUUAUCGGAGAAGGAUUAGCCCGCGUUGGAUUAGGUAGUUGGUGGGGUAAAAGCCUACCAAGCCGACGAUCCAUAGCUGGUUUGAGAGGAUGAUCAGCAACACUGGGACUGAGACACGGCCCAGACUCCUACGGGAGGCAGCAGUGGGGAAUCUUAGACAAUGGGGGAAACCCUGAUCUAGCCAUGCCGCGUGAGUGACGAAGGCCUUAGGGUCGUAAAGCUCUUUCGCCAGGGAAGAUAAUGACGGUACCUGGUAAAGAAACCCCGGCUAACUCCGUGCCAGCAGCCGCGGUAAUACGGAGGGGGUUAGCGUUGUUCGGAAUUACUGGGCGUAAAGCGCACGUAGGCGGGUUAGUAAGUUAGAGGUGAAAUCCCAGGGCUCAACCCUGGAACUGCCUUUAAUACUGCUAGCCUUGAGUUCGAGAGAGGUGAGUGGAAUUCCG
rnacentral:rRNA from 1 species